GAUGAACGCUGGCGGCGUGCCUAAUACAUGCAAGUCGAGCGAACAGAUGAGGAGCUUGCUCCUCUGACGUUAGCGGCGGACGGGUGAGUAAAACGUGGAUAACCUACCUAUAAGACUGGGAUAACUUCGGGAAACCGGAGCUAAUACCGGAUAAUAUAUUGAACCGCAUGGUUCAAUAGUGAAAGACGGUUUUGCUGUCACUUAUAGAUGGAUCCGCGCCGCAUUAGCUAGUUGGUAAGGUAACGGCUUACCAAGGCAACGAUGCGUAGCCGACCUGAGAGGCGGAUCGGCCGCACGGGAGCUGAGACACGGUCCAGACGCCUAAGGGAGGCAGCAGUAGGGUACCUUACGCAGUGGGCGAAAGCCUGGCGGAGCAACGGAGCGUGAGAGGUGAAGGUCUUCGGAUCGUAAAACUCUGUUAUUAGGGAAGAACAAAUGUGUAAGUAACUAUACACGUCUUGACGGUACUGGAUCAGAAAGCCACGGCUAACUACGUG
rnacentral:rRNA from 1 species